GUAGGUGAACCUGCGGAAGGAUCAUUAGUGAAUUUAGCGCAUCUGUUUACUCAGAGCGUGACCCCCACUCUUAUAACAUUGUGCAUUUAUUGGCGGAAGCAAAAAGAUUGUAGUAAAAGAUUAUAAAUUCAUCACUGUUUUUAUAAUUGAUUAUUCCUUCUGGUUGUUCUCUGCGGCUCACUUUUAAACAUUAGUUAAAGUAUGUAUACGAAAUAUCGAAAAACUAAAAAAAACUUUCAACAACGGAUCUCUUGGCUCUC
rnacentral:misc_RNA from 1 species